rnacentral:rRNA from 1 species
AACGAACGCUGGCGGCAGGCCUAACACAUGCAAGUCGAGCGCCCCGCAAGGGGAGCGGCGGACGGGUGAGUAACGCGUGGGAAUAUGCCCUUUGCUACGGAAUAGUCUCGGGAAACUGGGGGUAAUACCGUAUACGCCCUUUGGGGGAAAGAUUUAUCGGCGAAGGAUUAGCCCGCGUUGGAUUAGGUAGUUGGUGGGGUAAUGGCCUACCAAGCCGACGAUCCAUAGCUGGUUUGAGAGGAUGAUCAGCCACACUGGGACUGAGACACGGCCCAGACUCCUACGGGAGGCAGCAGUGGGGAAUCUGAGACAAUGGGGGCAACCCUGAUCUAGCCAUGCCGCGUGAGUGAUGAAGGCCUUAGGGUUGUAAAGCUCUUUCAGCGGGGAAGAUAAGGACGGUACCAGCAGAAGAAGCCCCGGCUAACUCCGG